GAAUAAAAUGUUGAACCUUUUAAUCAAAUAAUCUCCAAAUAAACAAGUUUAUAAUUUAAAACCAAAUACUUUAAAUCGAAAAGUUAAUUAAAAGCGAAAUAAAUACAAUGAUCCCAAAGACACCAAACCGUCCAGAUAUCCAACUACUCAUCAAGUUCACCUGCAAGGGAAGAAAGAGGGGUGAGCAACAGGGGAGUUACUCCGUGAGGUAUGGGAUGCUAAACACGCAAACCACUGAAUUGAGUAAAUAGAACUCCCAUUAUGGAAGUUUAGCUCUAACAUGAACACAUACGACGCCUAGCGCGUCACACAAACACAAACAAUGCGAUGAUAGCAUAUAGCUAGUCCAUACACCCCGCAUCUCCUCAUAUGGAUAUAUAAUACGUAGCGUCGCUGGUAAAGUAUGUCUCUGUACCCCCGCCCUCUCAAGUAGCGUCCAUGGUACAAACGUCUAUACACCACACGCCCAUCACCAGUAGCAUCGCAAGUCCAGACGUCUCUGAACCCCUGCCCGCACAAUCAAAGUAGCGUCGCUAGCCCAAACAUCUCUGAGCCCCCGCCCGCGCACAUAGUCCCUACUAAUAACUAUGUAUACAUACAUUUAUUUAUCGCAUCUCUUAACAUCACACAAUUAAAUCAAUGGUUGAAUCCUUUAGACCCAUAAUUCCAGUUUACAAUGAAUGAACUAACUAACAAUCAAGACUCAAACAUACUCGAUUCAAACAGACGGAUCAUGAUUCAAAAUCUAAACUACGAUAGAGAGAAUUCUACACUGGUACGGGAUUUACGGAGUAGACCCUCACCUUAUCCAUAACGGAGAACCAGUAACAAAUCCGACAAUAAACAAGAUGACUUGAUCAGCAAAGAAGCUAGGAUUUCGCCAUGGAUCUCGAACUCUCAACAAUGUCACACCAGAUCGGAAAAUAACAGACGCGAAAUAGGAGACAUAAAUAUCAUAUAAUAGAUCUAGGGUUUAAUUAUGAAACUUGCAGCACAAGAAAUUAAUAUAAUCUCUCUUAACUUCCACGGCUUGGAAUCUUAGUGUCGGAUCUCGGGCCCAAACGUGCAUUGCCCUCUCCGGUGACUCACGGUUGAGGAUCACGGCUGGUCAGACUGAAACGGCUCCGGUCGUGGUGCUUGGUGGUGUUGAUGCGUGCCGGUGGCGUCAAGAUGCGAUAGCUCCCGCUCGUACAUCUCUUCUCCACGGUGACAACGGAUCUCUAGCAACACGAGCUACUCCUCCGGUGAAGGCGCUGGCUCCAGUGGCAUGGCUUACGGUGGUUGAUGGUGAAGGACAUGGCUCCGGUGGUGACGAUGGUGGAUGCGUCACGUCUUCUCAGUCAUCAAACACACGGACACAUGAAUAACAUGGGGGAGAAGAAGAGAAUGGCACAAGGGAUGAGCAAGAGAGAUGGGGAGGAGAUGAAGGAACGGAAGGAUCAUGGCAUGGCUUCGAAGAGCACGCCCAACUUCUACAUACGGCG
rnacentral:lncRNA from 1 species